GUGGGGAAUCUUGCGCAAUGGGCGAAAGCCUGACGCAGCCAUGCCGCGUGGAUGAUGAAGGUCUUAGGAUUGUAAAAUCCUUUCACCGGUGAAGAUAAUGACUGUAGCCGGAGAAGAAGCCCCGGCUAACUUCGUGCCAGCAGCCGCGGUAAUACAAAGGGUGCUAGCGUUGCUCGGAAUUACUGGGCGUAAAGGGAGCGUAGGCGGACAUUUAAGUCAGGGGUGAAAUCCCGAGGCUCAACCUCGGAACUGCCUUUGAUACUGGGUGUCUUGAGUGUUAGAGAGGUGAGUGGAACUCCGAGUGUAGAGGUGAAAUUCGUAGAUAUUCGGAAGAACACCAGUGGCGAAGGCGACUCACUGGCUCAUUACUGACGCUGAGGCUCGAAAGCGUGGGGAGCAAACAGGAUUAGAUACCCUUGUAGUCC
rnacentral:rRNA from 1 species